UCUUACUGAUGAGCAAAGAAAGUAGUUUUCUUGAGAUGGAGUCUACUCCAGGUGAAGAUAACUUCGGA
rnacentral:pre_miRNA from 1 species